AUUCACCUGUAGUAGGAGCAUCACAAACACCAGUGUCAACACUAUUGAAGAAAGCUUCGGAGAAUAUGAAUUCUCCAAAUGUAAUGAAUAUUUCAAAGCACCAAAAAAAUGUCAUUUUUGAUGAAUAUGAAGUUGAAACUGGUAAUGGAAGAACUAUUAAACUGAAAACAAGAAGCACAGACAUGUUUGAGGAUCCAAGAUAAAUAAGACGACGAGUACACCAAAAGUCAAAAGCCCCCGGAGUGUAGUCAUGGAUGUUAUUGGCGCAAGGACAGUGAUCGCAGGAGAUAGCGAAGAAUUGGAUCUCAUUGAAGGUUGAUAGAGAAGUUUAAUAUAGUUUGUUUGUAUUUCAUAGCUUUUAUAACUUUG